rfam:Aedes albopictus isolate Foshan contig9836, whole genome shotgun sequence.
GGCUCGGUAGCUUAAUUGGUAAAGCACUCGUCUUGCGUAUAAGGGUCGUGAUUUCAAAUCUCACCUAAGCUG